GUCACAAAUGAGGGAGGGGGAUGAAGUGGAGGGCCAGGGAUGAUGUGCCCUGGUCACUAGGCUCUGGUGACCUGAGCCCGGACAGCCAGAAGGGCCCAGAAGCCAGCGCGCCUGCCCUGGGGCCCUGGCUGGGUCCCCGCACUGCCUGCUGCCUCCCUCCAUCACGCACCCACAUUCCAUCUCCUUGGCCGCUCCUUGGCCUCAGAGCCCUGAGGCAGGCCUGGCUGGACCCCAGAGCCCUGGUGUCCUUCCUGCCCUUUGCCGGGCCAUGGUCCUGGAGCUGCCCACACGUGGAGCCCACCGGUCUGGAAUCUGACCUCCUGGUCUUCUGUGGGGCCGUGCCUCUGAGCCCACUUUGGGAUCGGGGCGACAGAGACCCGGCGUGGGUGCUCACACACCAGUGGUCUGGAAUCUGCAAGGUGUCCUCAGUGCAUGGGCUUUGCUGAAGUCAACACCUGAUUCUGGAUUUGCAACUAUGGUAGUAAGAAGGCCUUCAAGGGGGACAGCACCGCCCAGGAGGAGUCCCCUCCAGGGCUGCCGUUUAGGCGUUGUGGUCACCGGCCCUUUGACCCCUUCGCUUCAGAGCAAGACCGACUUCCUUCCACCUCGCUGGGGUCACUCCGCCAGGGACCGCCCCCAACCGCGGCCCUCCCCUUCCUAACCAAGUGCCCUCCCUCGGGCCCAUCCCUCCGAGCUGAAACACCUUUGGCUGCCACCUGAAGGAAAGCCUCACAAAAGGCACAAGGCACAAUAUAGAUGUGAUUGUGGAUGUGA